rnacentral:rRNA from 1 species
GUGGGGAAUUUUGGACAAUGGGCGAAAGCCUGAUCCAGCCAUGCCGCGUGCAGGAUGAAGGCCUUCGGGUUGUAAACUGCUUUUGUACGGAACGAAAAGACUCCUUCUAAUAAAGGGGGUCCAUGACGGUACCGUAAGAAUAAGCACCGGCUAACUACGUGCCAGCAGCCGCGGUAAUACGUAGGGUGCAAGCGUUAAUCGGAAUUACUGGGCGUAAAGCGUGCGCAGGCGGUUAUAUAAGACAGAUGUGAAAUCCCCGGGCUCAACCUGGGAACUGGAAUUGUGACUGUAUAGCUAGAGUACGGUAGAGGGGGAUGGAAUUCCGCGUGUAGCAGUGAAAUGCGUAGAUAUGCGGAGGAACACCGAUAGCGAAGGCAAUCCCCUGGACCUGUACUGACGCUCAUGCACGAAAGCGUGGGGAGCAAACAGGAUUAGAUACCCUGGUAGUCC